rnacentral:tRNA from 1 species
GCUCCCGUAGUUCAAUGGAUAGAACAAUGGACUUCUAAUCCUUAGAUCGUGGUUCGAUCCCACGCGGGAGUACCA